rnacentral:rRNA from 1 species
UACGUAGGGUGCGAGCGUUGUCCGGAAUUAUUGGGCGUAAAGAGCUCGUAGGCGGUCUGUCGCGUCGAUCGUGAAAACUUGGGGCUUAACCCUGAGCUUGCGGUCGAUACGGGCAUGACUGGAGUUCGGCAGGGGAGACUGGAAUUCCUGGUGUAGCGGUGAAAUGCGCAGAUAUCAGGAGGAACACCGGUGGCGAAGGCGGCAUCCUGGACCAAUAUUGACGCUGAGGAGCGAAAGCCAGGGGAGCAAACGGG